CUGGGUAUUCGAUUUCAUCCCAUAGCACUAUAAACAAGAUAAUACAGGAACAUUUUGUUAUGUCUAAUAUUACAGGACUUUUUUAAAAUUCUAGCGUCCCUUAUAAAACUUUUGCUAUGGUACCAGUUCUAUAUUUAGUAACCUUUACUAAUUGUGCCAAGUUAAUUUGAAAGCUGCAUUUUUAAAGGGACUUUCUAGGUACCAUAACCACUUAAGAAUAUUGAAGCAGUUAAGGUGCAAUGUCACCAUGUCAGUUUUGCAUACCAACUCAUUGUUAUAGGUAUGUGAGCCAUGGUGAGUAAUUAUUGUCUGUUUGACGCAUAGAGUGUCUUUUGAACGUUUUGAUCAUUAACACAGGUUUAAUGUAUGAGUCCCAGAGAGAGAAUACAUUUCUCACUAGUUAUGACUUAUUUAGCGCCAUUGAUAUUAAGUACUGCAGAGUGAGUGAUUGCCACUAGGUGGCACACAACUACUGCACUCAGUAAACUGGUUUCAUUAUUAAGCAUUAUAAUUCAAUGAAAAGAUCCUUAAAUAGACUUUUUUUACUUAUUACAAAAGUAAGCAUAGUUUUUUUCCCCUUUUUCUAACAUUCAAGUUUUAAACAUGACAGCUAUGAAUUUUUAAUUCAUAUCAGCUUCUAUAAGGAAAUAACAAAGAGUGAUGAGCUUUCUUGGAUUACGUGGAUUCACAUUUUGUAAAUGCAUUGACCUUUUUUUUUUUUACUUAGAUUGUUAAAUGAUUGUUGUAAUCUGUGAUUCUACUCUAAAAUAAUAUACUCCUCUAACAUAAACUAAGCCAAUCUACGUUAUUAUAAUCUUACACUGUAAGAAAACCUACCUUAUUUUGACACUCCUGUCAGUUUAGCCACAGUGCCAGGUCUCUGAGGAGGUGCCUAUCAAGUAAACGUCCCAAGCUUAUCUAUACCUGAGUUUAGCAGCUGUUCGGUGCCCAUUUUGUGGUCUGAGAACCCUUAGUAGCAUUACUUGAUGUUCUUGAUUUUCUCUUUAUUAACCAGGCUUGUUAUUGAUGUUGAUUUUCCAAGUAUUUCCUGUGUACUAGACUUUGGCUGUGUUGGACCAUGAUCACCUUGUUCCUGUUUUGCGUACCAGACCCCGGCAAUGUUUGACAUAGAUUUUUUCCUAUUUCUGCAUGUCUCACUUAUUCAUGACCUUGAGUCCCAGUUAUUCCAUACCAGCAUUUAUUAUUGUUAUUGUUUUCAUUGUUCUCCUCCUGGUCUGAAUAUACUUAAUAUUAG